rnacentral:rRNA from 1 species
UGCAUGUCUAAGUAUAAAUGUUAUACAGUGAAACUGCGAAUGGCUCAUUAAAACAGUUAUAGUUUAUUUGAUAAUCGAAUCUACAUGGAUAACCGUGGUAAUUCUAGAGCUAAUACAUGCGGCUACGCCUGACUCCCGAGGAAGGGCGGUAUUUAUUAGAUAACGAACCAAUAUUCCCUGCGUCUAUUGUGAUGACUCAUAGUAACUGAUCGAAUCGCAUGGGCCUUGCCCGCGAUGCAUCAUUCAAGUUUCUGCCCCAUCAGCUUUCGAUGGUAGUGUAUUGGACUACCAUGGCGUUAACGGGUAACGGAGGAUUAGGGUUCGAUUCCGGAGAGGGAGCCUGAGAAACGGCUACCACAUCUAAGGAAGGCAGCAGGCGCGUAAAUUACCCAAUCCUGACUCAGGGAGGUAGUGACAAGAAAUAACGGACCGGAACGUACGUUCCGGGAUUGCAAUGAGUAGAAUUUAAACCCCUUUACGAGGACCCAUUGGAGGGCAAGUCUGGUGCCAGCAGCCGCGGUAAUUCCAGCUCCAAUAGCGUAUAUUAAAGUUGUUGCAGUUAAAAAGCUCGUAGUUGGAUUUCUGGAAGGGUGCCGAUGUCCGCCGUUGGCGUGUGCAGAGGCGCCCUGCCAUCCUUCUGUUAACCUUUCUCGGUAUUCACUUACUGGUUAGGGGCUCAGAUAUUUUACCUUGAGAAAAUUAGAGUGUUUCAGGCAGGCUUGCGCCGGAAUACAUUAGCAUGGAAUAAUAGAAUAGGACUUUGUGUCUCCUUUGUUGGUUUGAGGGACCGAAGUAAUGAUUAAUA